rnacentral:rRNA from 1 species
GACCAAGCGAUGUAAGGGCAUCUGGUGGAUGCCUUGGCGCAUGGAGGCGAUGAAGGACGUGGCAGGCUGCGAUAAGCCGUGGGGAGCCGUCAAGCUGGCUUUGAUCCGCGGAUUUCCGAAUGGGGCAACCCACUGUUAUCCUCUAUGACGAACGAAGGUGCUGAGUUGGUGCGAGAUGCUUGACGCUAUGGCCUUAACGGCCAUGGAACACCGCUCUCUCACCAGCGCCCAAGGGGCGCCGGCCGCAGGCCGCCCCCGUGGAGGGCGUCGGCGUAGCCGACAUGCCCGCGAGCGCAAACGACCAGCCUUCUUUCCUCAUAGAGGAUAACGGUAUUAAGUUCUGAAUACAUAGGGACUUAAGGCAAACCCGGAGAACUGAAACAUCUCAGUACCCGGAGGAAAGGACAUCAACCGAGACUCCGCUAGUAGUGGCGAGCGAACGCGGACCAGGCCAGUGCUUCAUUGUUCCUAACCGGAAUCGUCUGGAAUGUCGGGCCGGAGUGGGUGACAGCCCCGUACGGGUGUUGGAACAAUGGAGCCUUGAGUAGGGCGGGACACGUGAAAUCCUGUCUGAACGUGGGGGGACCACCCUCCAAGCCUAAGUACUCCCAUGCGACCGAUAGUGAACCAGUACCGUGAGGGAAAGGUGAAAAGCACCCCGAUGAGGGGAGUGAAACAGAUCCUGAAACCGGAUGCCUACAAGCAGGUGGAGCGCGCAAGCGUGACACCGUACCUCUUGCAUAAUGGGUCAGCGACUUGGUGUAUCGAGCAAGCUUAAGCCGUUAGGUGUAGGCGCAGCGAAAGCGAGUCUGAAUAGGGCGCCCAGUUCGAUGCAUCAGACCCGAAACCCGGUGAUCUAGGUAUGGCCAGGUUGAAGGUGGGGUAACACCCACUGGAGGACCGAACCCACGUCUGUUGAAAAAGACGGGGAUGAGCUGUGCCUAGGGGUGAAAGGCCAAUCAAACCGGGAGAUAGCUGGUUCUCCGCGAAAACUAUUUAGGUAGUGCGUCAUGUAUCACCCUCGGGGGUAGAGCACUGGAUGGAUGCGGGGGGCGCGAGCCUUACCAAUUCUAACCAAACUCCGAAUACCGAGGAGUGCAGCAUGGCAGACAGACGGCGGGUGCUAAGGUCCGUCGUCGAGAGGGAAACAGCCCUGACCACCAGCUAAGGUCCCUAAAUGACGUCUAAGUGGGAAAGCAUGUGAGGCGGCCAAAACAACCAGGAGGUUGGCUUAGAAGCAGCCAUCCUUUAAAGAAAGCGUAACAGCUCACUGGUCUAACAGCUGCCUUGCGGCGAAGAUGUACCGGGGCUCAAGACGUCUACCGAAGCUGUGGACUCUCUUACGAGAGUGGUAGCGGAGCGUUGCCUAGGCCGGUGAAGCGGUACCCGUGAGGGGCCGUGGAGGUAUGGCAAGUGCGAAUGCUGACAUGAGUAGCGAUAAGGAGGGUGAGAGACCCUCCCGCCGAAAGUCCAAGGGUUCCUGCGCAAGGCUAAUCCGCGCAGGGUGAGCCGGCCCCUAAGGCGAGGCCGAGAGGCGUAGCCGAUGGGAACCAGGUUAAUAUUCCUGGGCCAGGGGAUGGUGACGAAUGCCGUAAGUUGUUCGGUCUUACUGGAUUGACCGGGCCGCGAAGGCGUUCCAGGAAAUAGCCCCCCAUGAGACCGUACCCGAAACCGACACAGGUGGACUGGUAGAGCAUACCAAGGCGCUUGGGAGAAUGGUGCUGAAGGAACUAGGCAAAUUGCCUCCGUACCUUCGGAAGAAGGAGGCCCGCCCUUGAGGCAACUCUUGGGCGGGGGCACAGACCAGGGGGUGGCGACUGUUUACUAAAAACACAGGGCUCUGCGAAGCGGCGAACGCGCCGUAUAGGGUCUGACGCCUGCCCGGUGCCGGAAGGUUAAGAGGAGCCGUGAAAGCGGCGAAUCGAAGCCCCGGUAAACGGCGGCCGUAACUAUAACGGUCCUAAGGUAGCGAAAUUCCUUGUCGGGUAAGUUCCGACCUGCACGAAUGGCGUAACGACUGCCCCGCUGUCUCCAGCACCAACCCAGCGAAAUUGAAUUCUCCGUGAAGAUGCGGAGUACCCGCGGUCAGACGGAAAGACCCCGUGCACCUUUACUACAGCUUCAGAGUGGUACUAGGGACGGCAUGUGUAGGAUAGGCGGGAGGCUUUGAACCAUGAGCGCCAGUUCAUGGGGAGCCACCCUUGAAAUACCGCCCUUGUCGUCUCUGGUAUCUAACCGCGGUCCGUGAAGCCGGAUCCGGGACCCUCUGUGGCGGGUAGUUUGACUGGGGCGGUCGCCUCCCAAAUGGUAACGGAGGCGCGCGAUGGUGGGCUCAGGUCGGUUGGAAAUCGACCUCAAGAGUGCAAUGGCAUAAGCCUGCCUGACUGCGAGACAGACAUGUCGAGCAGGGACGAAAGUCGGUCAUAGUGAUCCGGUGGUCCCGUGUGGAAGGGCCAUCGCUCAACGGAUAAAAGGUACGCCGGGGAUAACAGGCUGAUACUGCCCAAGAGCUCAUAUCGACGGCAGUGUUUGGCACCUCGAUGUCGGCUCAUCACAUCCUGGGGCUGGAGCAGGUCCCAAGGGUUUGGCUGUUCGCCAAUUAAAGUGGUACGUGAGCUGGGUUUAGAACGUCGUGAGACAGUUCGGUCCCUAUCUGCCGUGGGCGCAGGAGACUUGAGAGGCGCUGUCCCUAGUACGAGAGGACCGGGAUGGACGACCCUCUGGUGGACCGGUUGUGGCGCCAGCCGCAUAGCCGGGUAGCUAUGGUCGGACGGGAUAACCGCUGAAAGCAUCUAAGCGGGAAGCCCCCCUCAAGAUGAGGUCUCCCUUGAGAGCCGUGGAAGACCACCACGUCGAUAGGCCGGGUGUGGACGCGCAGCAAUGCGUGAAGCUAACCGGUACUAAUGGCUCGAUCGGCUUCGUC